AUGACUAAGGAGGUGAUGUUGGCAUUCGAAAAAUAUGCUAAAAGAAGUACUAAUCUCACGGGUCUUGACUGGCAGAUUGAGGAAAUUUGUCACCAAUGCUUUAAUGUGGAAUACUAUCACAAAGUUUUCCACCAUUACAAUUUCACUGUAAAGAUUGAGAGCCCUAGGUCAAGUGAUCCCAGAGUGGCAUUGUUCUUCGCCGAAGUGAAAGAGAUAUUUGGAAGAAAAUACUAUUUCUGCUGCCCUCUAGAACCAAAUGAAAAUGGUCAGUGUUAUGCAUGCCAUAACGAAGGAUUUGAUGAUCUAAGGCAUCCAGCUACAGGUGGAUAUGACCAGGGUUCGAUGGAUAUGGCAUUCCCAUUUACUAAUAUGGAUUAUUGA
rnacentral:rRNA from 1 species